rnacentral:tRNA from 1 species
GGAUCCGUGGUGCAUUGGUAGCGCGUCUAACUCCAAAUCAGAAGGUUGUAUGUUUGAUUCAUGUCGAGAUCA